CGGUGGAGCAUGUGGUUUAAUUCGAAGACAACGACGAAGAACCUUACCAGGCCUUGACAUGCAGAGAACUUUCCAGAGAUGGAUUGGUGCCUUCGGGAACUCUGACACAGGUGCUGCAUGGCUGUCGUCAGCUCGUGUCGUGAGAUGUUGGGUUAAGUCCCGUAACGAGCGCAACCCUUGUCCUUAGUUACCAGCACGUUAUGGUGGGCACUCUAAGGAGACUGCCGGUGACAAACCGGAGGAAGGUGGGGAUGACGUCAAGUCCUCAUGGCCUUUAUGACCAGGGCUACACACGUACUACAAUGGCCGAUACAAAGGGCAGCGACACUGCGAGGUGAAGCCAAUCCCGUAAAAUCGGUCUCAGUCCGGAUUGGAGUCUGCAACUCGACUCCAUGAAGUUGGAAUCGCUAGUAAUCGUGGAUCAGCAUGCCACGGUGAAUACGUUCCCGGGCCUU
rnacentral:rRNA from 1 species